UACGUAGGGGGCGAGCGUUGUCCGGAAUUACUGGGCGUAAAGGGCGCGUAGGCGGCUUAAUAAGUCUGAUGUGAAAAUCCUGGGCUUAACCCAGGGCUUGCAUUAGAAACUGUUGAGCUUGAGGACAGGAGAGGAAAGCGGAAUUCCCAGUGUAGCGGUGAAAUGCGUAGAUAUUGGGAAGAACACCAGUGGCGAAGGCGGCUUUCUGGACUGCACCUGACGCUGAGGCGCGAAAGCCAGGGGAGCGAACGGG
rnacentral:rRNA from 1 species